GACGAACGCUGGCGGCGCGCUUAACACAUGCAAGUCGAGCGAGAACCAGGGCUUCGGCCCUGGGGACAGCGGCGAACGGGUGAGUAACACGUGGAUAACCUGCCCUCGGCACCGGGAUAGCCCGGGGAAACCCGGAUUAAUACCGGAUGGCCCUUCCGGCUCACGAGCCGGUCGGAAAAGGUAGCUUCGGCCUCCGGCCGAGGAUGGGUCCGCGGCGGAUUAGCUUGUUGGUGGGGUAACGGCCUACCAAGGCUCCGAUCCGUAGCUGGUCUGAGAGGACGAUCAGCCACACUGGGACUGAGACACGGCCCAGACUCCGACGGGAGGCAGCAGUGGGGAAUCUUGCGCAAUGGGCGAAAGCCUGACGCAGCGACGCCGCGUGAGGGAGGAAGGCCUUCGGGUUGUAAACCUCUUUCAGGAGGGACGAAGCUACUCGGGUGAAUAGCCCAGAGGGUGACGGUACCUCCAGAAGAAGCCCCGGCUAACUACGUGCCAGCAGCCGCCGUAACAC
rnacentral:rRNA from 1 species